UACGUAGGGGGCAAGCGUUGUCCGGAUUUAUUGGGCGUAAAGAGCGUGUAGGCGGCCAGGUAGGUCUGCUGUGAAAACUCGAGGCUUAACCUCGAGAUGUCGGCGGAAACCAUCUGGCUAGAGUCCGGAAGAGGAGAGUGGAAUUCCUGGUGUAGCGGUGGAAUGCGUAGAGAUCCGGAAGAACACCGGUGGCGAAGGCGGCCUGCUGGGCAGUGACCGUAAGGCUAAAAGCUGCGCUGAGGCGCGCAGCGUGGGGAGCAAACAGG
rnacentral:rRNA from 1 species